rnacentral:rRNA from 1 species
UACAGAGGGUGCAAGCGUUAAUCGGAAUUACUGGGCGUAAAGCGUGCGUAGGUGGUUGACUAAGUCAGGUGUGAAAGCCCCGGGCUUAACCUGGGAAUUGCAUUUGAUACUGGUCAGCUAGAGUUUGGUAGAGGGAAGUGGAAUUCCAGGUGUAGCGGCGAAAUGCGUAGAUAUCUGGAGGAACACCGGUGGCGAAGGCGGCGUCCUGGACCGACAUUGACGCUGAAAGGCGAAAGCUAGGGGAGCAAACGGG